rnacentral:rRNA from 1 species
GACACGCUGGCGGCGUGCUUAACACAUGCAAGUCGAACGGUAAGGCCCUUUCGGGGGUACACGAGUGGGCGAACGGGUGAGUAACACGUGAGGAACCUGCCCUUGACUCUGGGAUAACAGUGGGAAACUUCUGCUAAUACCGGAUAUUCAGAUUCUGCCGCAUGGUGGGGUUUGGAAAGCUUUUGUGGUCAAGGAUGGUCUCGCGGCCUAUCAGCUUGUUGGUGAGGUAAUGGCUCACCAAGGCGUCGACGGGUAGCCGGCCUGAGAGGGUGUACGGCCACACUGGGACUGAGACACGGCCCAGACUCCUACGGGGGGCAGCAGUAGGGAAUUUUCGGCAAUGGGCGAAAGCCUGACCGAGCGACGCCGCGUGAGGGACGAAGGCCUUCGGGUUGUAAACCUCUGUCUGGGGGGAUGAGAACGGACGGUACCCCCGGAGGAAGCCCCGGCUAACUACGUG